AUGGUGGAAUCCUUCAGUGUUUUAUUAGUGUUCCUGUGGCUUCAGUUCAUCUGGGUGAGCAGCCAGCAGAAGGAUGUGGAGCAGAGUCCUGAGUCCUGCAAUGUUCUGGAAGGAGCCAUCGUCUCUCUGAACUGCACGUAUAGGAGCAGUGCUUCUGAUUAUUUCACGUGGUACCGACAAUUUUCUGGGAAAGGCCUUGUAUUUCUGAUGGCUGCAUACUCUAAAGACGACAAAAAGGAAGGAAGAUUCAGAAUGCAGGUCAGCAAAGCCAGCCGAUAUGUUUCCCUGGACAUCAGAGACUGCCAGCAGAGUGAUUCAGCCACUUACUUCUGUGCAGUGAGAGCACAGUGCUCCCCACACACCUGCAGCCUGCACCCAAACCCAUGCAGGCUAGAGGCAGAGACGACAGGGUAG